rnacentral:rRNA from 1 species
CCAAUAGCGUAUAUUAAAGUUGUUGCAGUUAAAAAGCUCGUAGUUGAAUUUCGGGAUCAAUAUGUUGGUCGUGCCUUGGUACGUACUGGCGUCAUUGGUUUCUCCUUUCUGAAGAACCAUGAUGUCAUUUAUUUGGUGUCGUGGGGAAUCAGGACUGUUACUUUGAAAAAAUUAGAGUGUUUAAAGCAGGCUCACGCUUGAAUACAUUAGCAUGGAAUAAUGAAAUAGGACGUUUGAUUCUAUUUUGUUGGUUUCUAGGAUCGACGUAAUGAUUAAUAGGGAUAGUUGGGGGCAUUAGUAUUCAAUUGUCAGAGGUGAAAUUCUUGGAAUUAUUGAAGACUAACUACUGCGAAAGCAUUUGCCAAGGAUGUUUUCAUUAAUCAAGAACGAAAGUUAGGGGAUCGAAGACGAUCAGAUACCGUCGUAGUCUUAACCAUAAACUAUGCCGACUAGGGAUCGGAUGAUGUUAAUUUUUUAAUGACUCAUUCGGCGCCUUACG